rnacentral:rRNA from 1 species
UACGGAGGGUGCAAACGUUGCUCGGAAUCAUUGGGCGUAAAGCGCACGUAGGCGGCUCGUUAAGUCGGGUGUGAAAGCCCUGGGCUCAACCCAGGAAGUGCAUUCGAAACUGGCGAGCUUGAAUAUGGAAGAGGGUCGCGGAAUUCCCGGUGUAGAGGUGAAAUUCGUAGAUAUCGGGAGGAACACCUGUGGCGAAAGCGGCGCACUGGACCACAACUGACGCUGAGGCGCGAAAGCUAGGGGAGCAAACAGG